AUGGGUGAAACAGUACAGUCACAUGUGACUGUAUUUCUUUUCACACAAAUACAGUGGAAGACGGAGGGUCGCUUUCUUUCACCUGCAUUUACUAUAAUGAACUUUGAAAUUCUUAUUACUUAUGUUUUGGUACCUCCUUGUUUGUGCAUGUUUGUAUUUGUAUAUCCUCUAGUAGGGUUGUGA